GAUGAACGCUGGCGGCGUGCCUAAUACAUGCAAGUCGAGCGAACAGACGAGGAGCUUGCUCCUCUGACGUUAGCGGCGGACGGGUGAGUAACACGUGGAUAACCUACCUAUAAGACUGGGAUAACUUCGGGAAACCGGAGCUAAUACCGGAUAAUAUAUUGAACCGCAUGGUUCAAUAGUGAAAGACGGUUUUGCUGUCACUUAUAGAUGGAUCCGCGCCGCAUUAGCUAGUUGGUAAGGUAACGGCUUACCAAGGCAACGAUGCGUAGCCGACCUGAGAGGGUGAUCGGCCACCCUGGAACUGAGACACGGUCCAGACUCCUACGGGAGGCAGCAGUAGGGAAUCUUCCGCAAUGGGGGAAAGCCUGACGGAGCAACGCCGCGUGAGUGAUGAAGGUCUUCGGAUCGUAAAACUCUGUUAUUAGGGAAGAACAAAUGUGUAAGUAACUAUGCACGUCUUGACGGUACCUAAUCAGAAAGCCACGGCUAACUACGUG
rnacentral:rRNA from 1 species